AUUGAACGCUGGCGGCAGGCCUAACACAUGCAAGUCGAGCGGAUGAAGGGAGCUUGCUCCUGGAUUCAGCGGCGGACGGGUGAGUAAUGCCUAGGAAUCUGCCUGGUAGUGGGGGAUAACAUCCGGAAACGGGCGCUAAUACCGCAUACGUCCUGAGGGAGAAAGUGGGGGAUCUUCGGACCUCACGCUGUCAGAUGAGCCUAGGUCGGAUUAGCUAGUUGGUGGGGUAAAGGCCUACCAAGGCGACGAUCCGUAACUGGUCUGAGAGGAUGAUCAGUCACACUGGAACUGAGACACGGUCCAGACUCCUACGGGAGGCAGCAGUGGGGAAUAUUGGACAAUGGGCGAAAGCCUGAUCCAGCCAUGCCGCGUGUGUGAAGAAGGUCUUCGGAUUGUAAAGCACUUUAAGUUGGGAGGAAGGGCAGUAAGUUAAUACCUUGCUGUUUUGACGUUACCAACAGAAUAAGCACCGGCUAACUUCGUG
rnacentral:rRNA from 1 species